GAUGGACGCUGGCGGCGUGCCUAAUACAUGCAAGUCGAGCGAACAGACGAGGAGCUUGCUCCUCUGACGUUAGCGGCGGACGGGUGAGUAACACGUGGAUAACCUACCUAUAAGACUGGGAUAACUUCGGGAAACCGGAGCUAAUACCGGAUAAUAUAUUGAACCGCAUGGUUCAAUAGUGAAAGACGGUUUUGCUGUCACUUAUAGAUGGAUCCGCGCCGCAUUAGCUAGUUGGUAAGGUAACGGCUUACCAAGGCAACGAUGCGUAGCCGACCUGAGAGGGUGAUCGGCCACACUGGAACUGAGACACGGUCCAGACUCCUACGGGAGGCAGCAGUAGGGAAUCUUCCGCAAUGGGCGAAAGCCUGACGGAGCAACGCCGCGUGAGUGAUGAAGGUCUUCGGAUCGUAAAACUUUGUUAUUAGGGAAGAACAAAUGUGUAAGUAACUAUGCACGUCUUGACGGUACCUAAUCAGAAAGCCACGGCUAACUACGUG
rnacentral:rRNA from 1 species